rnacentral:rRNA from 1 species
UACGUAGGUCCCGAGCGUUGUCCGGAUUUAUUGGGCGUAAAGCGAGCGCAGGUGGUUUAAUAAGUCUGAUGUAAAAGGCAGUGGCUCAACCAUUGUGUGCAUUGGAAACUGUUAGACUUGAGUGUAGUAGAGGAGAGUGGAAUUCCAUGUGUAGCGGUGAAAUGCGUAGAUAUAUGGAGGAACACCGGUGGCGAAAGCGGCUCUCUGGACUGUAACUGACACUGAGGCUCGAAAGCGUGGGUAGCAAACAGG